GGUGGAAAGUGUCUGGUUAAUUGGAAGCGGAUUUGUGCUCCAAAGACUGUUGGCGGGCUGGGCAUCAAAGAUCUGACUGCAUACAGUAGGGCCCUUUGCCUGCGUUGGCCAUGGUACGAAUGGGACAACAUUGAUAGGCCGUGGAAGGGCACGCCCACGCCGUGUGAUGCCUCUGAUCGUCAAAUUUUUGCUGCCUACUCUGCAACCAAAAUUGGUAAUGGAAAAAAGCGAGUUUCAAGACUGACGGGUGGCUUCAUGGGAUGGCACCAACGGACAUUGCACCUGAUCUGUACAAGCUUUCCAGAAUGA
rnacentral:rRNA from 1 species